AAUUCGUGGUGUGGACAAGCUCUUAAUAGUUCUUUGUAUCUCUCCCAAGCAUCGAAAAGAGAUUCACCAUUCUGUUGUGUAAACUUGGUAAUUUGGUUACGCAUGACU